UCGGCUAUCGUUCGUGAUCGUCGAAAAUGCGUGCGCGUGGGGUUAGGUCACGCGAUCGCGGUCUAUUCGUUUACGUGGUGAUAGUAUAACCGAGGAAGCGUUAGACCAAAAUAAAAUAUUACGUGUGUGAGUAGUCGUUAUUGUGCAGUACGGAGUUUCUUCGUGCCGUCUACGCGUUUGUGUUAUAAUAAUUUGUUGAAAAGAAAAAAUAUUCAAUCUAUACAACAAUAUUAUGUGGGUACGGUGUAAGCACAUGUGAAUAAAAUGUGAUGGAACAAAUUGGAUAUUUCGAUGUUUAAAGUGCUCCGUAUCGAAGUACCUAAAAAUGCUACGAUAUCAUUCAAGCGUUAGUUCUGUCAUAUCACUCUUAAGGCCCCUGCAACCCUAUCAAUUUUUCAACAAAACGACCUUAGCGACUAACAAAAAUUAAGUUUUUUAAUGUUAUAUUCAAUGAAAAAGAUGAAAAUGGAAAUGUUUAUUCUCGUCAAAAAUUUGCUAAAAUUGAAAAAUUGGUCCGGCCGAUGCAAAGUAAUCUUGUUGACGCAUUCAAACAUCCAUACAUUCUUUAAAUUGAACCUUAUAACUUAUAAGCCACAACUAAUAAUUAUCAGCAAAAAAGUCUGUAAGAUUACUAUAUGAUAUGAUAGAGGUAACCCGAACUUAAAUAUGACCAAAUGAGAGUAUGGUGGACCUACUGGAUACCUACUACUGUAGUAACUAGUAUCGAGUAGAUAAACGCGGACAAACUUUAAACUUGGUUUAUUGUUUUAUCUAACCGGCGAGCACGUAUAUCGAAAACAAGUUUACAGUCGCAAUGGAUGUAUUAUAUGGUUGUAUAAAACAACUUUUGAAAGUCAAAAGGUUUCGGAAAUGUAAAAGACCAAUAAAAGUAAAAGAGAAAAAGGUCCCGAACAGACUUACGGACAUUCUUAUACAGCAGACGAUGCUGUUAUCUCAACGGCUCGAACAUGUGUUUUUAAGAAACGUAGUCGGCGGAGUUCCGUAAGUCACGACUAGAGAAAAAGUUUGUCAGUUUAUUUCUGUCACGGUAUCUCAUAUAUUAUACAUUUUUUACCAACUACACGCGUGUAGAAUUUUUAGCAAAAUAUGUACCAUGUGCUAGUGUUUUUUUUCAUUUACCUUCCCUGAGUAUUAAUAAA